rnacentral:rRNA from 1 species
UGGGGAAUAUUGGACAAUGGGCGCAAGCCUGAUCCAGCCAUGCCGCGUGAGUGAAGAAGGCCUUCGGGUUGUAAAGCUCUUUCAGCGGGGACGAUGAUGACGGUACCCGCAGAAGAAGCCCCGGCUAACUUCGUGCCAGCAGCCGCGGUAAUACGAAGGGGCUAGCGUUGUUCGGAAUUACUGGGCGUAAAGCGCGCGUAGGCGGCUUUGUCAGUCAGGGGUGAAAUCCCGGGGCUCAACCCCGGAACGGCCUUUGAUACUGCAAGGCUUGAGUCCGUGAGAGGAUGGUGGAAUACCCAGUGUAGAGGUGAAAUUCGUAGAUAUUGGGUGGAACACCGGUGGCGAAGGCG